rnacentral:rRNA from 1 species
CCUACGGGCGGCAGCAGUGGGGAAUAUUGGACAAUGGGCGAAAGCCUGAUCCAGCCAUGCCGCGUGUGUGAAGAAGGCCUUCGGGUUGUAAAGCACUUUCAGUGGGGAAGAAAGCCUUGGGGCUAAUACCCUCGAGGAAGGACAUCACCCACAGAAGAAGCACCGGCUAACUCCGUGCCAGCAGCCGCGGUAAUACGGAGGGUGCGAGCGUUAAUCGGAAUUACUGGGCGUAAAGCGCGCGUAGGCGGUCUGAUAAGCCGGUUGUGAAAGCCCCGGGAUCAACCUGGGAACGGCAUCCGGAGAGCCAGAGUAGGGUGACGGAGGGGAGGACAUAUGUCUCCGUGAAUGAGUUCAAUGCGUAGGAAUCGGAGGGAUAACUAGGGGCGGAGGCGCACUACUGAACAUACCCUGCCGCUGAUUCGCGACAGCGGGGGGAGCGACCGGGCGUAGAUACCCCAGUAGUC